rnacentral:rRNA from 1 species
CCUACGGGUUGCAGCAGUGGGGAAUAUUGCACAAUGGGCGCAAGCCUGAUGCAGCCAUGCCGCGUGUAUGAAGAAGGCCUUCGGGUUGUAAAGUACUUUCAGCGAGGAGGAAGGCGUUAAGGUUAAUAACCUUAGCGAUUGACGUUACUCGCAGAAGAAGCACCGGCUAACUCCGUGCCAGCAGCCGCGGUAAUACGGAGGGUGCAAGCGUUAAUCGGAAUUACUGGGCGUAAAGCGCACGCAGGCGGUUUGUUAAGUCGGAUGUGAAAUCCCCGGGCUCAACCUGGGAACUGCAUUCGAAACUGGCAAGCUUGAGUCUUGUAGAGGGGGGUAGAAUUCCAGGUGUAGCGGUGAAAUGCGUAGAGAUCUGGAGGAAUACCGGUGGCGAAGGCGGCCCCCUGGACAAAGACUGACGCUCAGGUGCGAAAGCGUGGGGAGCAAACAGGAUUAGAUACCCGCGUAGUC